CCAAUAGCGUAUAUUAAAGUUGUUGCAGUUAAAAAGCUCGUAGUUGAAUUUCGGGGUUAGUAGGUUGGUCAUGCCUCUGGUAUGUACUGGUCUCACUGAUUCCUCCUUCCUGAUGAACCGUAAUGCCAUUAAUUUGGUGUUGCGGGGAAUUUGGACUGUUACUUUGAAAAAAUUAGAGUGUUUAAAGCAAGCUAACGCUUGAAUACAUUAGCAUGGAAUAAUGAAAUAGGACGUUCGAUCCUAUUUUGUUGGUUUCUAGGAUUGACGUAAUGAUUAAUAGGGAUAGUUGGGGCAUUAGUAUUCAAUUGUCAGAGGUGAAAUUCUUGGAUUUAUUGAAGACUAACUACUGCGAAAGCAUUUGCCAAGGAUGUUUUCAUUAAUCAAGAACGAAAGUUAGGGGAUCGAAGACGAUCAGAUACCGUCGUAGUCUUAACCAUAAACUAUGCCGACUAGGGAUCGGAUGAUGUUAAUUUUUUAAUGACUCAUUCGGCGCCUUACG
rnacentral:rRNA from 1 species